rnacentral:lncRNA from 1 species
UUUACACGGAAAACCUUAGUUGAGAGAAAUGUCAUGUACCUAGGGGUAGUCAGCUACAGCCAAUACAGCAACGGGACAACCAAGAAAAAGAAAGAAGAAAAGGGAGAGAAAGGAGAACCUUUACAGUGACUGCCACAAAGUGAAGAAUACAGAGGUACCAGUGACCUCAUAGGAAUUUUAUUGUACAAGGCCAAAAAGCUCACUAAAUACAUUCAAGUGCUUAGCAAUUCACACUGAACAAAUCAUCUACAUCAAGCCUGCAAAAUCACCCAAAAACUAAACCUUGCUAGCUAGGUACAGCGAGAAAUUUCCAAUUUUGUGAUGAAUUUUAAAAAAAUUCUACAAAAGGGGUGAUUUUGGUUAGAUAUUCCGCAGGGGGUGUUCGCAUUCGCGAAAUGCGAGCUCUCUAGAGCUCGCAUUUGCGAAAUGCGAGCUUCCCAUUCCUUGAACCAUUGCACACCUCCCUUUCCUUUAUUUUGGACACCUCCCUUAUUACUGCAAUAAAUAGAAAGACCAGACAUGUAAGCAUCGACAAGACUUACGUUUAAAUUGAAAUUUAGUAUAUUUGGAAACCUUAUUUAAGAAUAAUGGUGUCGUAUUUUAGUGACAUACUAUAGAGAGAUAAUAUGUUGGAAAAGUAAAAUUUUGGUUGGACAACAGUGUUUAAGAAAUAAUAUAAAAAUUUUCUAAAAAAUGGGCAACCCAUUCACAUAAAUUUGUAGGAGUUCAGCUACAGUAAUCUACGUACUAAUAACUGAGAAAGAAAUGAAAAAUCGAGAAUAUUCCAAAAAAAUCCAGGUUUGAGUAGUCAAUACCUGAAGUUGGAAAUUGAAAAAAAAAAAAAUGAAGACCAUGAGAAUUCAAAGAAUCCAAGCUUAAGAAAUGGCGGAGCAUUAACCACUGUAUAGGACCAAACAUUAUUUGCAACCCAAAUUAGUGGUAAAAGAACUAAUAUCAUUCACUCUGAUUCACUAUAUUCACUAUAUUCCUCUGUGAACUCGCAUUCCGUGAAUGCGAAGACCCCCCAUUUGUAGAACAACCUCCAAAAAUCGCCCCAGUUGUAGAAUCCUUUUUUUUUUUCAUCAUAAACUAAGAAUUCACCCUAGGUACAGCAGGGGGCGAACUCUUACAAUGCCAAUUGAACCAUAGGCACUUAUCCUUCACUGCUUCAGCUUCACUGACGUACUCUUUGAAUCCAUUGGGAG